AAUGGAGGCAACUCUGACCCAGCCAUGCCGCGUGCAGGAAGACGGCCCUCUGGGUUGUAAACUGCUUUUGAAUGGGAAGAAUGUGUGGCUUGCGAGCUAUAAUGACGGUACCAUUAGAAUAAGCCACGGCUAACUACGUGCCAGCAGCCGCGGUAAUACGUAGGUGGCGAGCGUUAUCCGGAUUUAUUGGGUUUAAAGGGUGCGUAGGCGGCUUAAUAAGUCGGUGGUAAAAGGUAGCAGCUUAACUGUUUUACAUGCCAUCGAUACUGUUGAGCUUGAGUUAUUUGGAGGCAGCUAGAAUUUCCGGUGUAGCGGUGAAAUGCAUAGAUACCGGAAGGAAUACCGAUUGCGAAGGCAGGUUGCUACGAAUAUACUGACGCUGAUGCACGAAAGCGUGGGGAUCAAA
rnacentral:rRNA from 1 species